UAAUAAUGAUGAUGAUGAUGAUGAUGAUGAUGAUGACGAUACAUACGAAGAAGAUGUCAUUUCUAGCCAUAAUCUUCGGCAUCUUUAUCAUCAUCAUCAUCUUGA
rnacentral:miRNA from 1 species